rnacentral:tRNA from 1 species
UCCCCGAUAGCUCAGUUGGUAAAGAAUCUGCCUGCAAUGCAGGAGACCCUGGUUCGAUCCCUAGGUUGGGAA